rnacentral:rRNA from 1 species
UACGUAGGGGGCUAGCGUUGUCCGGAAUCAUUGGGCGUAAAGCGCGCGUAGGCGGCCAGAUAAGUCCGGUGUGAAAGUCACAGGCUCAACCUGUGAAUGCCGCUGGAAACUGUCUGGCUAGAGUCCGGAAGGGGCGAGUGGAAUUCCUGGUGUAGCGGUGAAAUGCGCAGGUAUCAGGAGGAACACCGGUGGCGAAGGCGGCUUUCUGGACCGAUAUUGACGCUGAGGAGCGAAAGCCAGGGGAGCAAACGGG